GAUGAACGCUGGCGGCGGGCCUAAUACAUGCAAGUCGAACGGAAACACAGGGAGCUUUCCUCGCUGACGAGUGCGGCACGCGUGCGUAACACGUAUGCAACCUACCCUAUAAAGACGAAUAAAAUUUCGAAAUAAGGGCUAAUACACCGGAGAAUUACAUAUAGCCCACGAUUUGUUAGUAAAAGUCUAUCGUUCUGGGAUGGGCAUGCGUACCAUUGGUUAGUUGGUAAGGUAACAACUUAACAAGACGACGAUGGGUAGGGGAUCAGAGAGGACUUACCCCCACACUGGUACUGAGACACGGACCAGACGGCUACGGGAGGCAGCAGUAAGGAAGAGUGGGCAAUGGCCGCGAGGCUGACCCAGCCAUGCCGGGUGCAGGAAGACGGCCUUAUGGGUUGUAAACUGCUUUUAUACGGGAAUAAUAGAGUGUACGCGUACAUUUAUGCAAGUACCGUAUGAAUAAGCAUCGGCUAACUCCGUG
rnacentral:rRNA from 1 species